GUCUCAGGCCGUAUCAGCCUGAAGGCGCCCGAUCUCGUCUGAUCUCGGAAGCUAAGCAGGGUCGGGCCUGGUUAGUGUCUUGGAUGGGAGACCACCUGGGAAUCCCGGGUGCUCGAGGCU
rnacentral:rRNA from 1 species